rnacentral:ncRNA from 1 species
AAGGCGCCUUGCAGAGGGGCUGAAAAGGGAAGACGGUGUAAAACCGUCGCGGAACCGCCGCUGUAACCGGGGAAUGCACCCGCACGAUUGCAUCAGUCACUGUUCCGGCUGGAAUGGGAAGACGCGGGCAGGAUAUCGAUCCGGAAGCCAGAAGACCUGCCUUGUCAUA